GUUUGAUCAUGGCUCAGAUUGAACGCUGGCGGCAUGCCUUACACAUGCAAGUCGAACGGCAGCACGGGAGCAAUCCUGGUGGCGAGCGGCGAACGGGUGAGUAAUACAUCGGAACGUGCCCAAUAGUGGGGGAUAGCCCGGCGAAAGCCGGAUUAAUACCGCAUACGACCUGAGAGUGAAAGCAGGGGAUCGCAAGACCUUGCGCUAUUGGAGCGGCCGAUGUCAGAUUAGCUAGUUGGUGGGGUAAAGGCCUACCAAGGCUACGAUCUGUAGUUGGUCCGAGAGGACGACCAGCCACACUGGGACUGAGACACGGCCCAGACUCCUACGGGAGGCAGCAGUGGGGAAUAUUGGACAAUGGGCGGAAGCCUGAUCCAGCAACGCCGCGUGAGGGAUGACGGCCUUCGGGUUGUAAACCUCUUUCAGCACAGACGAAGCUGACUCCACGUGUGGGGUGGGUGACGGUAUGUGCAGAAGAAGCACCGGCCAACUACGUGCCAGCAGCCGCGGUUA
rnacentral:rRNA from 1 species